AGAACGAACGCUGGCGGCAUGCCUAACACAUGCAAGUCGAACGAGACCUUCGGGUCUAGUGGCGCACGGGUGCGUAACGCGUGGGAAUCUGCCCUUGGGUUCGGAAUAACAGCGAGAAAUUGCUGCUAAUACCGGAUGAUGACGUAAGUCCAAAGAUUUAAUCGGCCCAAGGAUGAGCCCGCGUAGGAUUAGCUUGUUGGUGAGGUAAGAGCUCACCAAGGCGACGAUCCUUAGCUGGUCUGAGAGGAUGAUCAGCCACACUGGGACUGAGACACGGCCCAGACUCCGUACGGGAGGCAGCCAGUGGGGAAUAGUUGGAACAAGUGGGA
rnacentral:rRNA from 1 species